GACGAACGCUGGCGGCGUGCUUAACACAUGCAAGUCGAACGGAAAGGCCCUGCUUUUGUGGGGUGCUCGAGUGGCGAACGGGUGAGUAACACGUGAGUAACCUGCCCUUGACUUUGGGAUAACUUCAGGAAACUGGGGCUAAUACCGGAUAGGAGCUCCUGCUGCAUGGUGGGGGUUGGAAAGUUUCGGCGGUUGGGGAUGGACUCGCGGCUUAUCAGCUUGUUGGUGGGGUAGUGGCUUACCAAGGCUUUGACGGGUAGCCGGCCUGAGAGGGUGACCGGCCACAAUGGGACUGAGGAACGGCCCAGACUCCUACGGGGGGCAAGAAGGGGGAAUAUUGCACAAUGGGGCGAAGCCUGAUGCAGGCACCGCGGGGGCGGGAAUACGGGCUUUGGGGUUGAAACCCCUUUCGGCUUGUACGGAGCGGGAGUUACGGGAAAGGGUAAAGAAGCACCGGCUAACUACGGG
rnacentral:rRNA from 1 species